GCACUGAGCAGACUCAUCUCCCUCCACUCGCCCCUCACUCGCAGCAUCUCAUGCACACUCACCUUCUCGCUGUUACACAGCAGUCCCCCGAGCCAGGCCACCCCCUUCACAGCUGCAGCAGGAACUGCCAUGUCAAGAUGGGUCCAUGGCUGCUCCUGCCAUCCCAGGAGUACCCGGAGAGUGGACGACUCAUAAGCAAGAGGCUGCGACACAGGAGGGGGCAGAGAAAACCCAUCACUCCUUUUUAGUAUGCUCACUGCCUAGUUCGGAACACUCUGCACCAGUCAUGAGGUAGCUGCCAUCUUCACUUCCAUGUCGUAAAUGAAGAAACUGAGGCAUGGAGAGGAAAAGGACAAGAUGCCCAAGUUUACACAAACCACAAAAGUCUGCCCACAGCUUGAGCUCCUAAAGGCUACGUAACGCUGCCGCUAGCCAGCACCUGCGCGCACCACCUGCCCGGAAAGACACGCCCGCAAGGACACCCAAGGUCAGACCGCGCUCCGGACGCGCCCCUCCCGCCUAACGGGACGGGAGAAACCGUACUGGGCGGGGCGUGUGGCGGCGCUCUACAAAUGCCCCACCCUCCACGUAGAACGUCCCUGGAUGACCCGCCCCCUACAUAAAUGCCCCGCCCUCCACGUAAAACACGCCUGAAUGUCCUGCCCCCACGUGAAUACUCCGCCCUCCACGUAGAACGCUUAG
rnacentral:lncRNA from 1 species